GACGAACGCUGACGGCGUGCUUAACACAUGCAAGUCGAAGGGAGUGGCGAACGGGUGAGUAACACGUGAGUAACCUGCCCUUUUCUUUUGGAUAAGCCUGGGAAACUGGGUCUAAAACUGUAUGGAUUGGGAUGGGCUCGCGGCUUAUCAGCUUGUUGGUGGGGUGAUGGCUUACCAAGGCUUUGACGGGUAGCCGGCCUGAGAGGGGGGGCCGUCACACUGGGACUGAGAGACGGCCCAGACGCCUACGGGAGGAAGCAGUGGGGGAUAUUGCACAAUGGACGAAAGGCUGAUGCAGCGACGUCGUGUGGGGGAUGAAGGCCGUCGGGUUGUAAACUCCUUUCGCCAGCGGAAUGGUAGUGGGUAAAGAAGCGCCGGCUAACUACGUGCCAGCAGCCGCGGUAAUUC
rnacentral:rRNA from 1 species